AUGGCGGCCGGGCUGGGGCCGGGGCUGCUGGCCUUGGCCUUGGCCUUGUGGCCGGCAGGGCUCUGGGCACAGCCGAGGCUGCAGGAGGCCGGCGGAGGGCAGCGAGCGCCCGGGGACUCCGUCACCCUCUCCUGCCGUGGAUACGGAUUCACCUUCGAAAAUUAUUAUAUUUACUGGUACCGUCCGGCACCCGGAGGCAGCCUGGACCGGGUGUCCUUUAUCAGCUCCCCUACGGGCAGUAUACAGGACUAUGGGGCAGCAGUGCAGGGUCGGGCCAAGGUUUCCCGGGACAAUUCUCGGUCCGAGGCUUAUCUCACACUGCAGUCCCUGCAAGUUCAGGACUCUGCCCGGUACUUCUGUGCCGCCACACGGGGACAGGAAACCCAGCUGAGCUUUAACACAAACCUCCUGGGCUCUGGCAGAGGUUGUGUUAAAUGUGGGGAAGGUGAGAGCUGCCAGGGGCCGGGAGCUAAUGGGUCUCGAGGCUGUUUGCAAGAAUUCAGGUGCCAUCACUGUGCACCACAGGCAUUCCUGGCCUUUACUGCACACUGCAGGGAUUCUGAUUUAUUGCCAGUUUGAUUAAGAGUAGAAUUAUGUGCAAUGAGAAAAUACCUUGCUCCCACUUUAUCCCUGUUUGUUCCCGGGCUCAUCCUCAAAGCAGCAUUCCUGAAUUCUUUGCCUCUUCUCUCCAAAAAUCAAAGGGACAACAGGAAAUCAGGUGUGGGAUCAUUUCUUAACCAUUAAUCACUGGUCCUCAUCUCUAGUGCUUCUUGUUCCUUUCCUCCCUCCGUCUGCAGUCGAAUGGCUGCACCAUGGUUCCUUCACAAGAGCUGCUGUCCUUCAGAAUCAACCCUCUCCAGCCUCAGUUGUCCACAGGCUCCCCUUCCCCAGUGCCAUGACCAAACAGUUUGUGAUUAUCUCAAGGCACUGAGACUCCAGAAGGUGCCUGAGCAGCCUGUGCCAGUGGUUGGGCAUCCUCACAGUGUGAAAGAGCAUUUCUCUCUGAUGUUCACUAAGAACCUCUUGUGGUUUUUGUUUGUGCUUACUGCUCAUUGUCCUGUCAAUGGGCAUCACUGAGAAGAGCCUGGCCACCUCUUCAUGUUUCUAUGCACUUAUGACAAGCCCAAGACUUAAGACAACCCAAAGCACGUUCUGCUUCUUCAUGGUAAACAGGGCCAGCUAUGACAGCUUGUUUAACUUGGAGAGGUGUUCCACUUCAACAGAUGAAAAACAAAGAAAGCAGAGUCUGCAAGGCAAAAGAAAUAAAUUUACUUCCUAGUUCUCCAUCGAUAGGCAGGUGUUUAGUCAUUUCUAGGAAAAUGGUCUUUCUCUCACAGGAUGAUUCCUUGGGAAGACAAAGGCCAUAACUCCAAAUGUUCCCCUUCCUCCUUUCCCUGAGUUUAUAUCUGAGAACCGUGUAUUACAGAGUGUGAUAUCCCUUUGCUCAGCUGGCAACAGUGGUGCUUCUGUGUCCCAUCGCAGCUUGUUGCCCAACCCCAGGCAUUCCGUGGCGAGAGAGUGGGAAAAACAAAAAAGACCUCUGCACACUGUUCAGCAAGAGAUGAAAGAGUCUCGUGUCUAUAACGCUCUUUGCUCAGAAAGAGAAAAUAAAGCCUCUUAUGCC